rnacentral:rRNA from 1 species
GUCUAUGGCCAUGCCACUCUGAACGUGCCUGAUCUCGUCUGAUCUUCAAGCUAAGCAGGGUCGGGCCUGGUUAGUACUUGGAUGGGAGACCACCUAGGAAUACAGGUGCUGUAGGUG